CGGUCGGGUAGCCGCCAUCUUGGGAAGGUCGCGAAAAUUCCCCCUGCCUCCUCAAAGCAGGGUUUGCAACUUCAGCGAUUGGAAUCGUCUGCGAAGACUUAAGCAGAGUGAAGCCCAGAGAUUCUGAUUUAAUUGGUCUGGGGUAUGUCCUACGCAUUGAGACUUUUAAAUUCCGCAGAAAAAUCCAUCUGACUGAAAGGUGGAGGAUGGAUUAGAUGGGUCCAGAUGGGAGGCAGAAACACCUGUUGGGAGGCUUCUGUGAACAGGUCUCAUGUGGGAAAUCAGCCUCUCUGCUGUGGACAUCAUCUGGAGAGAGAAGCUUGGACAUGGAGAAAGGGAGGUUCAGCCAUCCCAGCAUUCCAGCUGUUGCCCCCGGAGUGGGAGACAAGCAAGCCAGCCAUCAUGGACAUUCCAGCUCCAGUUACCUUCUGACUGUGGCCACAAGAGACACCCCCAACUAAGACAGCAGAGCUGUCCAGGUGAGCUCCCAUCAACCAACUGGGAGGAUCAUGAGAAGUUAUAAAAUGGUUGUUGUUUUGAGGCACUACAUUUAGAAUAGUUUGUUAUGCAGCAAUAGAUCUCCAAGCAGAAUGAUACUGAUGAACUCUAAGUCCAGGUGUAUAGUGAGAAGAGAAGAGGGCUUAGAACAGAGCCAAGGCACCCCACAUGCAAGGACCAAACUGAGGGAGAAGGCUCACACGGGAGAUUGAGAUAAACAGGACAGAGGGAAAUCCUGAGAGCGUGGUAUCCUGGAAGUGGCAAUAAGUGCUCAGGAAGGAAGAGUGGUCAGAAAUAUCAAAUGCCAAUGAAAGAACAGUUAGAUAAGUAUCCCUUGGAUUUGGUAACAUGGGAGUCAGUGACCUUGACAAGAACAGUUUCAGUGAGCACUGAGGGUGGACGCCAGAUGCACUGGGUUGAAGAAUGAAAAAAGCAACAAAAUCAAACUGGAGUUACGGUUUUGGGGGUUGUUUAUGUUUUUUUAAUAUGUAUUUUUAAGAGAGAGAGACAGAGCAUGAGCAUGGG